rnacentral:rRNA from 1 species
UACGGAGGGUGCGAGCGUUGUCCGGAUUUAUUGGGUUUAAAGGGUGCGUAGGCGGCCGAUUAAGUCAGCGGUGAAAUGCCCGGGCUCAACCCGGGAGCUGCCGUUGAUACUGGUUGGCUUGGAUCCCGGAGGGGAAGGCGGAAUUCGCGGUGUAGCGGUGAAAUGCAUAGAUACCGCGAGGAACCCCGGAGGCGAAGGCGGCCUUCUGGCCGGCGAUCGACGCUGAUGCACGAAAGCGCGGGGAGCGAACAGG